rnacentral:rRNA from 1 species
UACGUAGGGGGCGAGCGUUUGUCCGAAGUUACUGGGCGUAAAGCGCGCGUAGGCGGCUUUUUAAGUCUGGUGUGAAAGGUUCAGGGCUCAACCCGAACAGUGCACUGGAUACUGGAGAGCUUGAGUACGGAAGAGGCGAGUGGAAUUCCUGGUGUAGCGGUGAAAUGCGCAGAUAUCAGGAAGAACACCCGUGGCUAAGGCGGCUCUCUAGUACGGUACUGACGCUGAGACGCGAAAGCGUGGGGAGCGAACAGG